rnacentral:rRNA from 1 species
UACGGGGGGGGCAAGCGUUGUUCGGAAUUACUGGGCGUAAAGGGCUCGUAGGUGGCCAACUAAGUCGGACGUGAAAUCCCUCGGCUUAACCGGGGAACUGCGUCCGAUACUGGAUGGCUUGAGUUUGGGAGAGGGAUGCGGAAUUCCAGGUGUAGCGGUGAAAUGCGUAGAUAUCUGGAGGAACACCGGUGGCGAAGGCGGCUACCUGGACAAUUGCUGACGCUCAGGCACGAAAGCGUGGGGAGCAAAAGGG